rnacentral:lncRNA from 1 species
GUUAUAAAGUGCUUGUGGUUGAACUUGAUAUUAGAUCUGAAAACCAGAAAAAGAAACAGAUCCACGGUGGCUCAGCCUGAUGUGGCGACGAAGAAGGUGACAAAAACAGAUAAAGAGAUCGGAUAUUCUUAAGAUCUACUUAGUUUUAGGGUUUUUGUUGUUCAAUAGAUAAAAACGUUGAUUAUUUUUUGCUCUUAUAAAUUUGUUUUUCAAUACAUUGAUUCUUUUCCAAUUUUAUUUAUUUUCUUUUAAAUUUAAUGAUUUGGAUAAUACAAAG